rnacentral:lncRNA from 1 species
GUAAGCAAGAUGGCCAUCUACCCUUGAAGACACAAGGCUCACUCUCCCAUCAGCAGUCCAUUUCUACUCUUGGCAGUGAGAGAUGUGAGCCACAUACCCCACAGGAGGCUGAGCAAAGCAACUGCUGGUUGAGACAGUAGAGACACUCAUUAAGGGUCUGCACUUAGCAUCAGGCACGAGGGCUAAUCGUAAGGUGACUGCCCUUUGAUGGAAGCUGGUAUGUGUUGCUACUGUUCUAUGCAGAAACAUCCAUUAUGUCACACAGGCAAGUCUUCUAUGGAUGCCCUGGAGUCUGUGUCCACCACUUUAGUUUCUACUCUUCCCUUAUGUUUUCUUUUUUUCCAACUACUAUGAGAAAGGACUUUCUAAAGUACUAAAAUUCAGUUUCUCCUUCGAGUGACACUUGUCAUCUGGAUCCAUCCGAAAGUUGGUGACACACUGCAGCUGCCAACACCCACCUAGCCUACCCGAUCACAAUGCCGGAGCGAAAGCCAAUUAAAGUUUAAAUUGAACAUAGGAAAAGAGAAAGGACUGCUUUACUUGAAAACCCAUUAAAUUCUCAAUGGCCAGAAAACUAAAAAUAUCACCUCCGGAUUGCUCCUAAGAGGAUUUGAACAUAUCUAGAUAGAAGUCAUUACCCACAAGGUGUUCAACUUGAAAGCAGAUCAUCCAGCAACUCUGCGUGAUCGACCAUUUCACAGACACAGACAGUCGUUGUCUGCUUUCUUUCCAAAAUAAAUAAAAUGCAUAGAUCAUAAAGUCUU